GGAAAGUGCAGGACACUGAGGGGACCUGUGUCUUGUGUUUCAGAUGGUUUUUCCCAUGGUGUUCCCUUUCCAAUGUCUUUCUGGAAGUCACACAUUGACCACUAACAACAGGAGAGAGGACAAAGAAAGGCAGCAAGAGACUAUUUCCAAUGCAAAAUAUGAUCAGUGUGCCCCAAGGAAGCCAAAAGAUUGGACACCCCUGGAAACUCGUCAGUCAGAGGAGAUGUGAGGGAGAGGCCUGAAGUGACCCUUUCUGGAAAUUCUUCCAUAUGAAAACACGGGAGGAGGGAGGUUUCUUAUGUAGGAACCACAUGUGCAAAAAUGGCAAAAGAAAGAGAGGAGCAAGAGAUCCGCUUAUGAUAAUCCAACAAAACAAUAACUGGAACAGAAAAGAAAACGACUGCCAAUGAAACCCCUGAGUGACUCCGCAUUGUCUUUAAUUCUCCGCUAAUCAAAGAGCAGCACACAGUUGUGAGAGGUGGUCGGAGCCGGGGAGAUUAUGCGGAGAGUGACUCCAUUCAGAGAAAUUUUGGCACGAUUCCUAACCUCUUAGCCUGAGGGAGAAUUUCUUAAAUUUUAUUUGUGGUUCUCACCUGAGAGAAUUGAUGCCUUCAAGAGAGCACCAGGCAGAGGCUAAACAGACAUGGAAUAAAAUUAUCCUCCUUGGAUAGGUCAGGAGCUGGCUGAUAACUUACUCUAUGCCUACAUCAAUCAGGUAGCAGCAGGGGCGUCCACAGUCAAGGAGAGCUGAAGGUGGCAGGGCUUACAGCCGCAGAUCAUCCUAAAUAAAGAUACAGAAGGCAGACUCUCAUAAAAGAAACCAUAAAUGAAACAAUGAAUAACGACUUCUGUUUAUCAUUCUCUAUUGUUUGCAACUUUCACAAUAAGUAUGUAUUGUUUUCUUAAAUAAAUAGCAAACAAUAAACUCAUAUUGAUAUGGCAUCAAUUUUCACUGAAUACCCUAAGAGGAAGCCAUGUUUUUCCUGCACUUUUGUAAAGCUUAUAGGUGGAUUUCUUUUUUCUUUUUUUAAAAAGAGUACAUUCGGACUGAUCAGUGAGUUCAUGCAUCUGGGUAAAUGGAUAAGCAAAUAUUAAAUUUGACAUCACUGUUUUCAUUAUUACUUAUUUCAGAAAUUCAGGUUUAUAAAAUGCAUUCUAGCUGAGUUUUAAAAAGAUCAGACUAUCUUGUGGUCAUCGAAAUUUAUGGAACUCUGUCUAAUACCCUCAACUGGAUUAGAUUUUAGCUCUACAAACAGCCUUAUCUCUUAAGAGCUAGGACCUGAAAUUAAAUUAUAAAUUGAUACUAUCAAUAGCAGAAAUGUUAUCUUGAGCCUGGAAGGCCAGAAGGCUGAUUGAAUCUCAUUCAUCACAGAUGCACUUUGCUAGUGAUGGCUGUGUUUGGGCACAAGUGUGUGUUUAUGUGUUAUAACCAGUGGGUUGGUUAGCUGAGCUGGUUAGCACACAGUGCAAAUGGGUGCAGCAGGAAAUGCUCUAUGGCUCCUUAAGCCAGUUUCCUUUGCUUUGCUUAGUGAUGAUUAAUGGUGAUCCAGAUCCUACAUGGUGGUUUCAUAUCCCACUGAUGAGCCCAAUAAUAGAACCAACUUUACGCACGAAAAACUUAAAGCUAUUUUUUAAUAGAUUCAAGGAGGUACAAAAUCUAAUAAAAGUCAAAUAGAUCAACGCUUCAAUGUGCUUAUAGGCCUUUUUUAAUUUCCCACAGAGAACUUUCCAUGCUCACUGUCUCAUUUUUACAAAACUCCAUGCCUUGUUCAUUCCAUUUGAAUCACAAAUAGUGACAUCCUUGAACUAGACCUAAAAUGACUGUCAACUAAAACCCAACCAUUUACAGAAUAGUCCAUGGCCCUAAUGAGGGAGCCUACCGUGAGAGCUGGGCUCAAAAAUUACGUAGCAAAUCUGGUAAGAUCUUCUCUUUUAGGGGAUUUUAAGUAUAAAAUACAUGGAGA